rfam:Podiceps cristatus contig109908, whole genome shotgun sequence.
CACUUCUGCUAUACUGGGCUGAAAGCACCUGAUCUCCUCUAAACUUGGAAGCUAAGCAGACCAGGGUCUGUGAGUAGUUGGAUGGGAAAAAAAUCACCUGAAAAUAGGCAAAAGUCCAAGAGU